AGGAAUGAGCCUGCCACCUGGGCGCAUCAGGACGAGGCUCCAACCAACUGUGCCUCCGGCCAGGCCAGGGCGUGUUUUCCAGGCCUCGUCUCCGUCAGCCCGCCUGACCCUGGGGUGCCGGGAGCACCUCGCCAGGCAUGUCGGACCUCACCCCGCCCUCCCCGUCCCGGAUGCCCCCAGGAGCAAGGCCCUGCGCCCGCCCGCCCCGCUGGCUGGGGCUCCCCCAGGUGAAUGGGGGCGGGGAGGGCGGGAGGAAGCUAGGAGCACACCUUCGCCAUAAGCAGAACAGAGAGCUGACCCUAAGCAGGAGGCAGAGGCCCCCAGGCCCAGGGCGGUGGGCGUGGAGGCCCUGAGCUCAACGGCCCAGGACCAGUGCAACCUGGCAUUUGGGCCACUUUACGAAAUGAUUAUAUAAAUUAGAAUGACUGGUGCUUUCUUAAAAAAAAACACAUGAAUCUGAUGUAAGCCUUUCGUGGAGGCAGGCAGGUCGGACCUGCAGGGGCAGUGCGGCCGCGGAAGCUGCCGCCCAGUGCGGCCUCUGAUUGCCUGCUUAUGCUUCCCGCUCUCCCCGCUCCACUGCGUCCUCCUCACAGUUCAGUGCGUGUGUCGGAAAGACGUCGCUUUCUAAUCUGCCCUUCCUUCUCCCAGACCCGCUGCUCCAGUGCCCAGAACUAUACAUUUUUAAAAUAUAUAUAUAUAUUUUUAUUAUUGAUUUCAGAGAGGAAAGGAGAGGGAGAGAGAGAGAGAGAAACAUCCAUGAUGAGAGGGCAUUAUUGACCGGCUGCCUCCUGCACGCCCCCCACUGGGGAUGGAGCCCACAACCCCCGCACGUGUCCUGACGGGGAAUCUAACCCUGACCUCCUGGUUCAUAGGUUGACGCUCAACCGCUGAGCCACGCCGGCCAGGCAUCGAGAUUUCUUCCGUGGCCCACUGCGGCCCCCGCUGAGCUCUGUGCCCCUGGAAGUUCAUGCCCCGGUGGCCUUGAUACAAGCCGAUGGCUCCCAGCCCUUCCCGGGUUCAUGUCUCCAUCCCUGGCUUCCUCGCUGCCUCCGUCCGACGCCCCUGGGCGGGCUGAUUUAUGGCUGCAUCAGGGAAAACUUCACCCAGGGCGUGAAAUACAGAGCCCCGCGCCUGGGGCGCAUCUUCCCCGUUAUCGGCCGUGGCAAGUGUGUUUAUAACCCUGGCGCCAAAUCGAAACCAGGGUGAUUUGCGCAUCAAUCUCCCAGAUUAAAUCGGGGAGGUGCUCUAUUGCGGCUGGAAGGUUUGACCUUCGCGGUGCCUUUGGCGGGUCCGACUCGUGUAAGUCCCCUGGACAGUGACCCAGGACCUGUUGGAAAAUGCAGCGAUAGUGGCCGGAGCUGGGAUUACAGCUGCAUCAAAAGGAGAGAGAGAGAGAGAGAGAGAGAGAGAGAGAGAGAGAGAGAGAGAGAGAGACUCGUGAGCACUGGAGGAGAAGGCAGCAUGGUCUCGAAGCAACCCAGGUUGCUGGGGCCAUUUCUCUUCCUCUUCACUGCACCCCUGAACUCUAGAACAUGUAGAAAAACACUGACUCUUGCCCAGCCAGUGUGGCUCAGUGGUCGAGCAUUGACGAAUGAACCAGGAGGUCAGGGUUUGAUUCCCGGUCAGGGCACAGGCCUGAGUUGCAGGCUCGACCCCCAGUGUGGGCCGUGCAGGAGGCAGCCAGUCCAUGAUUCUCUCUCAUCAUUGAUGUUUCUCUCUCUCCCUUUCUCUUCCUCUCUGAAAUCAAUAAAGACAUAUUAGAAAGAAAGGAAGAAAGAAAGAAAGAACAAAACCCCCAAACACUGAAUCUUACUAAAGCCGGCCUCAGGUGGGCGUGCCAGGCCUCAUCUUGUUUACAAUACCCGGAGCGCAGAGUCCUGUGGGUCAGAGAGGUAAUGAAGUUGCUAAAAUGACUGGGCCUUCACUGGUUUGGCUCAGUGGAUAGAGCAUCGGCCUGUGGACUGAAGGGCCCUGGGUUCGAUUCCGGUCAAGGUCACAUGCCUGGGUUGUGGGCUCGAUCCCCAGUGGGGGGCGUGCAAGAGGCAGCCGAUCAACGAUUGUCUCUCAUCAUUGAUGUUUCUCUCUCUCUCUCUCUCUCUCUCUCUCUUCUUUCCUCUCUGAAAUCGAUAAAAAAACAUAUAUAUAUAUUUUUAAAAAAACGUAUAAAAUGCCUGGGAGAGCGGCACAGGACGGACAUCCGUGGAAUUCGUCUCGUCGCCACGCGGACUGGCUCUCCCUGCCGAUGGCGCAGAUGGUGGGGGGCUUCCCGAAAACCCUGCCUCCUCUGGUCUCUCUCACACCGUCACCCACAGCCUGGAAGGAUGCUGGCGGCAUUCACAGCGCCCAGCAGGGUUAAAGGCCAUUUUGGGGAACAUGCCCGUGGGAGAAGAAGAAGGGGAUGGCGGAGAGGGCGGAGGGCGCACCCUUGACAGCGUGAAGAAGCAGUUUGCACCGUAUGGUGUCGGCACAGAGGAGGGCAUCAGGGAGACCUGGGGCAAGAAGGCCCCUCAGUCGGCGGCCGGCAUUUCCAGGGCCAGAGGGAGCUUCGGGGGAAGGAGUGCCGCGUCCUUUCUGCUGCUACUUGAUAGUUGGUGUGAUGACUCAUCGGAGGCCAGAUUCUCGGCUCCCCAGGGCCUCUUCCAAACAGGAUGCUGGAGACGGAAGACCAGUGGCAAGUCCUGUCUGGGGGACGGCGCAGAAGGUCUCAAACACGACGUCUUCAUGUGGGACCCGACUCUGGCGCCUGCUCACAACAGCCCCUUAGAGAGUGGGGGUCACCCCCCCCCCCAUGUCCUUGACACUCUCAGGACGGUGCGCAUACCCCACCUCCUGCGAAGGCGGAGGCAUGAGGAAACGGGUAGCUUCCCAAGCCAAACUCUUCUCUUUCGUGGGGCUGCUGGACCACACCCACCAAGGACGAGUGUCAGGGGCCCUGGGGUGCCUGCGAGUCUCCCUCUGCAUUAGACACACCCCGGGGUGCUGGCAUCUUUAACCUUAUGUGUCCAACACGCUCUCCACCGAGCAUGUUGUUCAGCCUCUGGAAACUUUGCUUGUGGUUUGUGUCUUUGAUCCGUAACAUGGGUAACAUGGCAGUGUUUGCCCGUCUUAGGGUGUGCAGGCUGCUAUGACAAAAGAGCCCAGACCCGCUGGCUUAGAAACAACAGGCAUUUAUUUCUCCCAGUUCUGGAGGCUGAAAAUCCAAGAUUGGACACCAGCAGGGUCGGCUGAAGGCCGUCUUCCGGUGACUAGAUUUCUUGUAUCCUUAUGUGGUGGAAGGGGGUAGAGGGAGGGAAGGGAGCUCUCUGGAGUCUCUUGCAUAAGGGCACUAAUCCCAGCCAUGAGAGCCCCACCCUCAGGACCUAAUCACCUCCCUGUGGCCCCACCCAUCUUCUAAUAUUACCAGCUUGGGGGUUAGGAUUUCAACAAGUGAAUUUGGAGAAGACACAAGCAUUCAGACCCUAGCACUGGCUCUGGUAAGUUUUCCAUGAGGAAAUUGUGUAAAACAUUCAGAUUCAUGCCUGCUGUAUGCCAAAACUCACACUAACUGGUAGCUCUACCUGCCAGGGUUCUCAUUUGCAAAACAGGAUCAACAAUACCCAUCCCAUCCUAUGUGGGAAGGGAGUUUAAAUCUAUAAGGUUGAGUCCUGUGAAAUAGUCAAUAUAUUUUUUUAAAAAAUCUAUCUUUAUUGAUUUCAGAGAGGAAGGGAGAGAGAGAGACAGAAACAUCAGUGAUGAGAGAGAAUCAUGGAUCGGCUGCCUCCUGCAUGCCCCCUACUGGGGAUCCAGCUUGGAACCUGGGUCUGUGCCCUGACCAGGAAUCGUACUGUGACCCCCUGGUUCAUAGGUCGAGGCUCAACCACUGAGCCAUGAUGCCCGGGCAAUAGUCACUAUUUGAUUACUUUUAACUAAACAGCAAUCUCGUGUGGGUCAGUCGGAUGAAACGUGGCCUGUCCGUUCACAGCUGUGGAGACUCAUAACUAACUGUAAAUGGGACUGUUACUUUAUUCCCUCUCCGCUCCCCAGCUCCCUGGUGCAGGCACACCUCAGAGAAGCGACAAGAUGGAAUUAGGGCCUUUUUCUCUCUCUCUGUUUCACUUUCUACUCUCUCCUCCCUCUCCCCGCCAACUUGCCCAUACCCCUCUGUCACAGAGUGCAGUAGGGGCAAGCUUUGUGAAUCAGACAUAGCCCAUAGAAGAGAGUAGGCUUGCUAUUUUCUGGGUUAAGUUGUUAAUUGAUUUGAUAAUUGCCUGGGAGACACACACAAGGCAGACACAUACGCAAAACCAAUGUCAGGCCACACACUCUCCCUUGACAGUGAGAUGAAGAUGUCUGAGUUAUUGGGACUCCGAUGUCACCUGGAAGAAUAAGAGGAGGAACCAGGGGAAGAAAGAGGGGAGUGGAGCCAGCGUGGGAGGUGGGGCAGGGGCAGCAGGGGGGGGGGGGGGGGCGCGCAGGGAGAGGCAGGCCAUCCCUCUUGGUUAUCAAGCGAAAUGACUCCCCAAAUAUGACAAUAAAUCACCAUGGGAAUCAAUCCGACGGGAGGCCACUGCUCCACGCUGAUAAUGCAUCAAUCAAUAUUUAAUGUUUACACUUUAAUUAAUCCCCACACCGGAAGCCUGCGCUCAGUGACAAAAACAAAGAGACAAGAAAUAAAACACCUUUCGUAUCAAGGAGCGGCGAGAGCCCUGCCCAUCUGGUGGCUUUGGUUGGGCCUGAUGUGUGGAUCACCUUGGGCCCCUGGCGGCCUCCCAGUCACAUCUGGAUGCAGAGCGGUGGUGGGGGAGGGGCCGAGAGGUGUCCGCAUCUGGCGGGGGAGAUGGUGACAUCCUAGGAACUGCUCUGCAGAGCAUGGAUCCCAGAGAAGGCAGAACAAGGCUGGAGCGAAUAUUGGAUUCUGAACGUGGGUGACAUCUUCCCCCCAGAAAAGACUGCUGCCUGCAGAGCCUGGUCUAUAACUCUGGGCCAUUUUUGCGCCCCCCCCUUUGUUUUUGUUGUUUAUUAAUUUAUUUUUGUUACUCCUCACCUGAGGCUAUUUUUUCAUUGUUUGUUGUUGUUGUUUGCAGUGGGGAGAAUGGAAGAGAGAAAGACAGAGAGGAACAUCAGUGUGAGAGAAACACAUCGCUGGGCUGCCUCCUGCACAUGCCACGACCAGGUCCCAGGCCUGGGAGGAGCCUGCAACCGCGGUAGGUGCCCUGGGCCAGAAUCGAACCCAGGACCCUUUGGUGCACAGGCCAACGCUCUAUCCACUGAGCCAAACUGGCCAGGGCCCCCUCUGUGUUGAAGAGUCCAAGUGUUGUCUUGGACACACGGGUCUCGGGCCUGGUCUCUAACAUCCACGGCCCAUCAGCAUGUUGUCCAGCCUCUGCCCUUCCUCUUCCCAAGCCCUGAAAACACCCCCACACCCCCCACCAAUUCCAGUCCGUGCACAGCUGCAUGCGGACCCCCACACCCCCCACCAAUUCCAGUCCGUGCACAGCUGCACGCGGACCCCCACACCCCCCACCAAUUCCAGUCCGUGCACAGCUGCACGUGGACCCCCACACCCCCACCAAUUCCAGUCCGUGCACAGCUGCAUGCGGACCCCCACACCCCCACCAAUUCCAGUCCGUGCACAGCUACAUGCAGACCCCCACACCCCCCACCAAUUCCAGUCCGUGCACAGCUGCACGUGGAGCUACCAGAGCGGUGGUUGACCAGUUGGCUGCCUACUACAUUUUGUAGACGUUUCAAAGGAGCAGAUAUUCCGGGGGGCGUUGCAGAUUUCUUUUGAUAUUUUCGAGCCAGUGCCGUAGGUUUUGGGUCUCACCAUUUUGCAGGUCUUGCAAGGCUCUGAGGCUGUAAACACAGGGAAAUCGGUUUCUAGGUGAGAAACGGGCUCUGUGGGCAACGCUGGAUUUUGACCCUCAAAAAUUGCUAAGCUGCCCGGCCGCCAUGGCUCAGUGGUUGAGCCUCGACCUCUGAACCAGGAGGUCAGGGUUCGAUUCCCAGUCAGGGCACAGGCCCGGGCUGCAGGCUUGAUCCCCAGUGUGGGGCGUGCAGAAAGCAGCUGAUCCAUGAUUCUCUCUCAUCAUUGAGGUU